rnacentral:rRNA from 1 species
GACGUAGGAUGCGAGCGUUGUCCGGAUUUAUUGGGCGUAAAGAGUUCGUAGGUGGUUUGUUAAGUCUGAUGUUAAAGACUGAGGCUCAACCUCGGAAAUGCAUUGGAUACUGGCAGACUUGAGUGUAGUAGAGGCAAGCGGAAUUCCAGGUGUAGCGGUGAAAUGCGUAGAUAUCUGGAAGAACACCAGUGGCGUAAGCGGCUUGCUGGGCUAUAACUGACACUGAGGAACGAAAGCCAGGUAGCGAAUGGG